AGCUAACGCUGGCGGCGCGCCUAAUACAUGCAAGUCGAACGGGGAAGUAUCUUCGGAUAUUGUACUAGUGGCGCACGGGAGAGGAACACGUGGAUAAUCUACCUUCGAGUGAGGGAUAACUAGUCGAAAGACUGGCUAAUACCUCAUAAGACCACAGUAACUAAUGUUACAGGGGUAAAAGGUUUUUCGCUUGAAGAUGAGUCUGCGUCCGAUUAGCUAGUUGGUGAGGUAAUGGCUCACCAAGGCAACGAUCGGUAGCUGGUCUGAGAGGAUGAUCAGCCUCACUGGAACUGAAACACGGUCCAGACUCCUACGGGAGGCAGCAGUAGGGAAUAUUGCACAAUGGAGGAAACUCUGAUGCAGCGACGCCGCGUGAGUGAUGAAGGACUUCGGUUUGUAAAGCUCUGUUCUUAGGGAAUAAAAAAAUGAAUGUACUUAAGGAGAAAGGGACGGCUAACUUCGUGCCAGCCGCCGCAGUAA
rnacentral:rRNA from 1 species